AAACUAUUUUAUUAAUUUCAGCAUCCCAUGUUGUGCAGAAACUAAGUCAAGAUUUUAAAUAAAACUAGUUCAACAUUUAAUGCAAAAAUGUUAAAGUAUUAAAGCGGUAUUUCAAAAUGCUGAACAUGUAUAUUCAAAAAGUUGAAUUGAAACAUUUUGAAUAAUGAUUUAAAAGGAAAAAAGGUAAAUUAUAGUAAUAUAUCUGUUAUUUUUUUCUAAACAACAUGAUGGUUCAAAUAGAAUAAAAAAAAUGAACUUCUAGUUUGAAAGAAAAUGCAUUUCAAUUUAGAAUCAAAAUAAUUAGUCAUCCAUCCAUGCGGCCAUCUUCCUCCCAAUUAAAUUAUAUCAUAUGUCAUGCACGUGUUUGGUUACGUUGGAGACUUAUCUCAAACACCGAAAGGUUCAUCACUUAAAAUCUAGGUCAUGUUUAG
rnacentral:lncRNA from 1 species